AUUGAACGCUGGCGGCAUGCCUUACACAUGCAAGUCGAACGGCAGCACGGGAGCUUGCUUCUGGUGGCGAGUGGCGAACGGGUGAGUAAUACAUCGGAACGUACCCAGUAGUGGGGGAUAACGCACCGAAAGGUGCGCUAAUACCGCAUACGACCUACGGGUGAAAGCGGGGGACCGUAAGGCCUCGCGCUAUUGGAGCGGCCGAUGUCUGAUUAGCUAGUUGGCGGGGUAAAAGCCCACCAAGGCGACAAGCAGUAGCUGGUCUGAGAGGACGAUCAGCCACACUGGGACUGAGACACGGCCCAGACUCCUACGGGAGGCAGCAGUGGGGAAUUUUGGAGAAUGGGGGCAAGCCUGACGACGCAACGCCGCGUGGAGGAUGAAGACCUUCGGGUCGUAAACUCCUUUCGACCGAGAUGAACACUCACCGACCUAACACGUCGGUGAGCUGACAGUACCGAGGGAAGAAGCCCCGGCUAACUCCGUGCCAGCCGCCGCAGUAA
rnacentral:rRNA from 1 species